GCCCAGCAUACAAAACUCUAAAAUAUAUUCAGCUUAUAUUUGAAAACUCAAGUCAAAUUCAAACAUCAAUUCCAAAUAAAUGGCAACUGCACAACAAACGACGAAGAAGCAUGAACAGAAAACAUGAGGCUGGCUAGCUGUAACCAAUUUCUACAUUCUUGGUCAGUUCACUCAUCCAAUUCAUACAACAUGCGGUUCUAGGCCCCUUUGCUUCCUUGUUUUCCCCACAAACAAGUCUCCAGAUUUUAUCAUGCCGGGAAUAAGGCCAAUGAUGGUAAUGAAUGGAAAUUGUGCAACAGCAUUUCUUCUUCCCAGUGAAACAAUUGCUGUUACUGAACCAUCUGGCUUGUAAGCGGCCAUUUUGCAUUCUUUUCCUCCAGCCAUCAAUAACUUCAAGUUUCCAGCAGCCACUUCAGCAUGUUUUUGUGCCAAAUACCCUUGUUUGAUUUCUGGAAUAUUAGUAAUAUCUCCAAUUGCAAAUAUAUUUUUUCGGCCCUUGACUCUUAAGUACUCAUCAACCACCAAUCUUCCAUGAAAAUCCAAGUUGUUCUUCAAAACAGUAUCCUUAAGCCAUGCUGAGCCCAGUGGUUUCCCCGCACAUAGGAAAUGGCAAUCUGCCUUGAUAGUUUCUCCAGCUAAAGAAUGGUAUAUUCUGCUACCAUUUUCAUCCACUUCUGGAAUAGAAUUUAAAUCAACCCUUUGCUCCAAUUUCACAUCAACAUUCUUUGAUCUUAACCAUUUUAGUGUCUUAUCAGCAGCUUUUGGCCCAAUAAAUUCCAUCAAUCUUGACCCAUUAUGUACCAGAGUAACCUUCUUUUCUGGGAAAUCAACAGCAAUUUCUCCUGCAAGUUCAACACCAGUGGGACCUCCUCCAACAAUUAAAAUGGAAUGAGCAGACUUAAUUUUUUCAUUUUCUGCUUGGUAUUCAGCAAGUCUUGCCAUCCUAGUUUUUGGAACAGACUCUGCAUGGCCAGUAGCAAUGACAAGAUAAUCAUAGGGAACUAUAUGACCCUCUGCAGUCAAUACAACUGUGUCAGUGAUGUUGAUUGCAUUAGAUGUAACAAUACGGCCAUUUGUGAAGUAAUCUCUAUGAUUUAUCACUGAUCUCU
rnacentral:misc_RNA from 1 species